rnacentral:rRNA from 1 species
UACAUGGGGUGCAAACGUUGCUCGGAAUUAUUGGGCGUAAAGCGCACGUAGGUGGUCUGUUAUGUCAGAUGUGAAAGCCCUCGGCUUAACUGAGGAAGUGCGCCCGAAACUGCAUGGCUUGAGUACCGGAGAGGAUGGCGGAAUUCCCCAAGUAGAGGUGAAAUUCGUAGAUAUGGGGAGGAACACCGGUGGCGAAGGCGGCCAUCUGGACGGAUACUGACGCUGAGACGCGAAAGCGUGGGGAGCAAACAGG